CUGGGAGCCCCGCCAGGUUGGAUAGCAGCAGGAACCUUUUCCAACACCAAUAAAUGUUGAUCUCAGCCCUGUGAUGUGGGAGGGGAGGAGAUCUUCAAAUGGAUGAAGGAGGAAAUCAAACCAGAGAACAAAGUGAUAAACAGAAGCCAGGAACUCGGGGGCCUGAUUUCUGGACCUGGGCUCUUUCAGUUCUGCCUUCUACAGCUCCAGCCUCGCUGAAACUAUGCCCUCACCAAGAAGCUAUUGUUUGCUGACUUAUUUAGUCAUUCAUUUCAUGAACAUAUCUGUUGUUUAGUUGCUGAGUUGUGUCUGACUCUUUGCGAC
ensembl:lncRNA